rnacentral:lncRNA from 1 species
ACACCCGAGGCCUCCCGGGUCUCAUCCACGCCUCUGGGUCCAUCACUAAACAGAAGGCACAAUCCCACUAACUCUUACUCCAUCGCUGCUCAUGAAACUCCUGCCAGUAAGGACUGGGUCAAGCACCUGAAAACCAGAGCUCGUCCGUGGCUUCACUUGUUUUGGACUAAGGAGCUGAGGAGCGUGCAAGACUGUACUUGGAGAAUCUGUUUCUUGCUGCCAUUUCGUCACUGAACACUAUUUUUUUUCUCCUUCUUUUUUUGUAAGAAAAGGAGAACACAUAAAACCCCACCAGAACAAACUCCACUCGGCCCUGAAAGUAUUUACAAUCACGGCCCUGAAAGUACUGAAAGUAUUUACAAUCACGUUACAGUUCAUUCACUGCUGCAGAACCUCUCUCCAGCGAUCAAGGUCGAAGGGAGCCGACGUCGCCCUCUAUCGGCUCCCUGCUGCACUAGAAGAUAUUGACUGAGAAUCCUCCAUGUGCCAAGUACUGUUCAAAAACACUGGGAACCCAGCAGGGAUGAGCCACAAGUUUCCUUGUCUUUACGAAGCUUUCAUUCUGAGGGAGUGGAGAGAGACAAGCAAUAAACAACCAAUCAAAACAAAGAUGACUCCUCUGAGUGUUGUGAUAUGCGGGUCAAGGAGGAUGGCUCCCAGGAUGUGACCUCAGAGCAGAAGCCUGGAGGCUUGCCAGCAGCGGGAAGAGCAGCGGCAGGGCACUGCAGGCAGAGGUUCUCCUGUCCCAGCCCCUGGGCUUGCCAGUGAUGCCCAGAGGAUGAUGUGCCUGGUGGCUGAGCUCUUCCAGAACUAAAGACGUGCGGAUCCCUGAGUAUCCAUAACCAUCAAAGCAUGAAGUAAUGCCUUGUAAGUGGUGUCACCACACCUCCCAGAAGAAGGAUGGAUUCCUACCAGAAGCAGUCAAACAUAGUGCCGGAUCAUCUAAGUGAAACGGAUCCCCAUGGGUGCUGCUAUUGGGAUACCAAAGGUCUGAAGUUCAUCCAAUGCAAUAGCAGAAAUAAUUACAUCUGUGAGCAUGUGAGAAGAACCCUGAGUUAGUCCCAAGUGCAAAUCACCAUCUCCAACCAAUUCCUCCACCAAUUGAUGGAUGUUGGGGAGUGGGGUACAGCAACCCCUCCAAGUCCUUCCUCCCUCUAUAUAGCCCAGGAGACUCCCCUCCCACCAGCCUGGCCCCCAGAGUGCUGACUGGCAACAAUAUUCCAAGUUAAAAUAGUUUGCUAAAUAGUUAUACAAUUAGUUUACAAUUCAAAUAUAUCAGAGGAAAAGACAGGGAAAAAAAUUCUAAGAUACAUGAAUCCCAGACCAUUGCUCUCCAAAUAUUUUCAAGUGAUUCAUCUCCUUUAUUUAAAAAAUGAAUUAACCACCAGAUGGGACACUCAUACAUUCCUGAUGGUUGUAGGAAUCAGUAGACCCUGUAUGGAAAGCAAUAGGAUAAUAUUUCAUAGGAUCAAAUUAAAAUGUUCACAGCAUUGGUUCCAGGAAAUUGGCUUCUGGAGAAUUUAUACUCCAGAAACAAUUCAACAAAAGAACACAGCUCUGUGCAUGCAGAUGCUCAUUAGCCCAUCACCUAGAGUAAGGGAAAGUGGAGAUCCCAAUGAACAACAAUGAGAUGGGUUAGCGAACUGUGACCUAUCAGCCCAAUGGACAUUUAAGCAAUCACUGAAAAGUAGAAACAUGAAGAUAUUACACAACAUGGAAACUGUUUAUGGAGUAUAUUUAGGUAAAAAGGAAAAAAAGGCAGAACUGUAUAUCUGUGGUUGGAUAUACUUUUUUUUUUUUAAUAUUAAGCACCAACCAAAAGAAGAAAGGAGGAUAGAAAAAAUAAAAUGGAAGAUGUAGGGUGGGCAGAUUAGGGCUGCGUUUGUUGCUUGCUUUCAUGUUACCAUCAUAGCGUUUUUGCCACUUACAAAGGAGGAAAAAAAUCAAUUCUGUGCCAACCCAGACAACAGAGACCUGAGUGGGGGUUGGGAAGAGAGAUUUUUCAGCACAGAAUCAGACUCCUUCUCCAAAGAGCUGUGUGGCCUUCACCUGCAAGGCGACCUCUUCCACAAGCAGAGGCCAGGACAAAAAGAGGCACCUGUGAGCGACAAAGACGGUUUCCUUGGUUUCCCUCACGGCGCCAAGCGGAGUGGCCGCCUCCCACCACAGGGCCCCCUAAUGGGCGCUUUUGUCCUGCGGGGCAGAGGGACCUCAUUAGAAGGCGCUGGUGCUAAAGGGAAAUGCAUUUCCAGAACAGGAGGUUUCAUCAUUCCUAGCGUUAGCGACAGAAUGGUGACAGAAGCUCUGUGGACGUAUUUUCCAGCGUUCAGUUCACAUCAAGGAUGGGUAUGCACUGGCGGAAAAGCUUACCAUUGCCCAGAAGAUAUCACAGGCCAUUCAAUGUGAGCACCAAGAAGAAAGGGUAUAUCCAUCCUAUUUUUCUCUAAGACUACAGUCUUGGCCUCUGUCUCUGUCUGCCUCCAGAGAGAGAUUUAGCUUUUGAUCACCUCCAACAAACAACAUCCUUUAGGAUAUUGAAACUGACAAAAGACAGCCUACAAAAUCCUAUGGUUUACAUUAAAAGUCUGAAGGCAUUGCCAUGUUCCGGAUCUGGGGGUUAACAGUGCAUGACGAAGCACAUACCCUCAGUAAGAAUUUAAUUUAGCUCGAAUAUGAAGGGAUGCUUUAUGAGACAAACUGGCAGCAGUUCCAUGGGGUGAGCAGAGAAGUGAGACUAUAAAACAGAAGACAAUUUGCUAUUUCUAAAUUGCUCCCUCUCAAAAACUGUGGUGGGUGUCUUAAAAUCAUCUCGUAUAUCCUUUUACCCAGUAAUCUCAAUUCUAGGAAUGUAUUCUAACAAAAUAAUUGGGCAAGUCCACAAGGAGGUAUGUGGACUACUGUUUAUAUCAUGCCUUUGUUUAUAAUAGGAAAAAAAAACCAACAGAAAAACAAAGGUCCAUCAGUAGGAAAUAAAGUAUUGAUUAGGCAUAUAAUGAAAUUAUAUGCAACUUUUAGAAUGCUGAAAAAGUAUAGUACAUUAGACUUCAGACAUCAGCAUUUAGUUUAGUAUACUAUACUAUUAAGUAAAACAGUUUUAAAAUAGAUUUUAUAAAAUAUCUUUGUUUUAAAACAAAGUGUGUUGUAAGAAUAGAAAAGAA